UUAGAACAAUUUCCCAUUGUUAGUGUUGUACACCUACAUUAUAUUAGUGUGAGACAUGAUGCGUUUGGUGUUAAUCUAAAUCAGUUUUUCAACUCUCUCAUAGUUUACUAUGACAUGUGAAGGUUUUCAAAUCGCUCCACUUAGAACAUUUCUCAUUGUUGGUGUUGUGCAUCUGGUACGAAGUUUCACUUUAUUAAAUGAAAUGUCAGAAACGAAAUAAACUGGAAAUGACUUAACAGACUAUUAUUGGUUUCCACUUUAUUUAACUAACAAGACACUUCAUUAAAUUAUAUGUUAUAAUACUUUUUAAGCCUCGUGACUGCUCCGAUAAAAGUACUUUACAGAUGCUGUUUUCAUACCAAAUGAAAUUACGUUAUGAUAAAUCCCUUCGUAAUGUGUAGAUCAAUUAUAACAGAACAAGGUGCCAGCAACCUUCCUCAUAACAAAUACAAAGGAUUGUCAGAUUGAUGAUCUGCAAUGAUGGAGACUUACAAUUCAAUCCCAAGUUUCUUUUAUCCUUACUUAAUUAGUUUCCAGUAUAAACUGAUAAUUUUUAUAAAACUAUAAGAUUUUGG